CCCGGCACAAGCGGUGGAGCAUGUGGUUUAAUUCGAUGAUACGCGAGGAACCUUACCUGGGCUCAAAUGUAUGUUGACGUAUUCUGAAAGGGAUACUUCUUCGGACAAUAUACAAGGUGCUGCACGGUUGUCGUCAGCUCGUGCCGUGAGGUGUCGGGUUAAGUCCCAUAACGAGCGCAACCCCUAUCAUUAGUUGCCAUCAGGUCAAGCUGGGGACUCUAAUGAAACUGCCUACGCAAGUAGUGAGGAAGGUGGGGAUGACGUCAAAUCAGCACGGCCCUUACGUCCAGGGCUACACACGUGCUACAAUGGCCGGCACAGCGGGAAGCGAGGCAGUGAUGCCAAGCGGAUCCCUUAAAGCCGGUCUCAGUUCGGAUUGAAGUCUGCAACUCGACUUCAUGAAGCUGGAAUCGCUAGUAAUCGCAGAUCAGCCAAGCUGCGGUGAAUACGUUCCCGGGCCUU
rnacentral:rRNA from 1 species